rnacentral:rRNA from 1 species
UGACGGUACCUGACUAAGAAGCCCCGGCUAACUACGUGCCAGCAGCCGCGGUAAUACGUAGGGGGCAAGCGUUAUCCGGAUUUACUGGGUGUAAAGGGAGCGCAGACGGCAAAGCAAGUCUGAAGUGAAAGCCCGGGGCUCAACCCCGGGACUGCUUUGGAAACUGUUUAGCUAGAGUACUGGAGAGGUAAGCGGAAUUCCUAGUGUAGCGGUGAAAUGCGUAGAUAUUAGGAAGAACACCAGUGGCGAAGGCGGCUUACUGGACAGCAACUGACGUUGAGGCUCGAAAGCGUGGGGAGCAAACAGGAUUAGAUACCCUG